UACGUAGGGACCGAGCGUUGUCCGGAUUCAUUGGGCGUAAAGAGCUCGUAGGCGGCUGUUCAAGUCGAACGUGAAAACUCGGAGCUCAACUCCGAGCCUGCGUUCGAUACUGGACGGCUAGAGUCUGGUAGGGGGAUCUGGAAUUCCUGGUGUAGCGGUGGAAUGCGCAGAUAUCAGGAGGAACACCGGUGGCGAAGGCGGGAUCCUGGGCCAGUACUGACGCUGAGGCGCGAAAGCUAGGGGAGCAAACAGG
rnacentral:rRNA from 1 species